rnacentral:tRNA from 1 species
GCAGUGGUGGUCCAGUGGUAGAAUUCUUACCUUACAUGUGGGAGAGUCAGGUUUGAUUCCUGACCAAUGCA